rnacentral:lncRNA from 1 species
GAUGUACUUAAAUGGGUUAUUAUGGUUGCAAACUCCAUUGGAAAUUUGAAUUGAGAUUUAUUUUAUGUCCCUUUACAAAUAGAAAAAUUGCUGCUUUUUUUUCCCGUUCUCUAACUUAAGUUUGCCUCAACCAAAUUUUAUGAAAAGUUUACACAUUACUAACAUUACCUGAAAACUCAAAUCUAAUACUUAUUUGAGUAGCAUAACUUUUACAGUUUUUCAGUUAUAUAAAAAAGAAGAUGUGGUAUGAUUACCAAUGAGACAACUAUCCACAAAAGACCAAAAUGACACAGACAUUAACAACUAUAGGUCACCGUACGCCCUUCAACAAUGAGCAAAGCCCAUUCCGCAUAGUCAGCUAUAACAGGCCCCGAUAAGACAAUGUAAAACAAUUCAAACGAGAAAACUAGCGGCCUUUAAUUUAUGUAAAAAAAAAAAAAAAAAUGAAAAACAAAUAUGUAACACAUAAACAAACGACAACCACUGAAUUGCAGGCUCCUGACUUGGGACAGGCACAUACAUAAAUAGUGUGGCGGGG